rnacentral:rRNA from 1 species
AGUUUGAUCAAUGGCUCAGAUUGAACGCUGGCGGCAUGCCUUACACAUGCAAGUCGAACGGCAGCACGGACUUCGGUCUGGUGGCGAGUGGCGAACGGGUGAGUAAUAUAUCGGAACAUACCCUAGAGUGGGGGAUAACGUAGCGAAAGUUACGCUAAUACCGCAUACGAACUAAGGUUGAAAGCGGGGGGAUCUUCGGACCUCGUGCUCAUGGAGUGGCCGAUAUCUGAUUAGCUAGUUGGUGAGGUAAAAGGCUCACCAAGGCGACGAUCAGUAGCUGGUUUGAGAGAACGACCAGCCACACUGGAACUGAGACACGGUCCAGACUCCUACGGGAGGCAGCAGUGGGGAAUUUUGGACAAUGGGCGCAAGCCUGAUCCAGCAAUGCCGCGUGAGUGAAGAAGGCCUUCGGGUUGUAAAGCUCUUUUGUCAGGGAAGAAACGGUGAGUCCUAAUAUGGCUUGCUAAUGACGGUACCUGAAGAAUAAGCACCGGCUAACUACGUG